CUGUCUCUCUCUCUCUCUCUCGCUGUCUCUCUCUCUCUCUCUCGCGCGGUCUCUCUCUCUCUCUCGCGGUCUCUCUCUCGCGGUCUCUCUCUCUCUCUCUCUCGCUGUCUCUCUCUCUCUCUCUCGCAGUCUCUCUCUCUCUCUCUCGCUGUCUCUCUCUCUCUCUCUCGCUGUCUCUCUCUCUCUCUCUCGCUGUCUCUCUCUCUCUCUCUCGGUCUCUCUCUCUCUCUCUCGCGGUCUCUCUCUCUCGCGGUCUCUCUUUCUCUCUCUCUCUCGGUCUCUCUCUCUCUCUCGCAGUCUUUCUCUCUCUCUCGCAGUCUCUCUCUCUCUCUCGCAGUCUCUCUCUCUCGCAGUCUCUCUCUCUCUCUCUUGCAGUCUCUCUCUCUCUCUCUCGCAGUCUCUCUCCCUCUCUCUUGCAGUCUCUCUCUCUCGCAGUCUUGCUCUCUCUCUCUUGCAGUCUCUCUCUCUCUUGCAGUCU
ensembl:lncRNA